ACGUAGGGGGCAAGCGUUGUCCGGAAUGAUUGGGCGUAAAGGGCGCGUAGGCGGCCUGGUAAGUCUGGAGUGAAAGUCCUGCUUUUAAGGUGGGAAUUGCUUUGGAUACUGUCGGGCUUGAGUGCAGGAGAGGUAAGUGGAAUUCCCGGUGUAGCGGUGGAAUGCGUAGAGUUCGGGAGGAGCACCAGGGGCGAAGUGAAGUUACUGGACUAUAACUGACGCUGAGGCGCGAAAGUGUGGGGAGCAAACAG
rnacentral:rRNA from 1 species